UACGUAGGGCGCAAGCGUUGUCCGGAAUUAUUGGGCGUAAAGAGCUCGUAGGCGGCCUGUUGCGUCCGCUGUGAAAACCCGGGGCUUAACCCCGGGCUUGCAGUGGAUACGGGCAGGCUGGAGGCAGGCAGGGGAGAACGGAAUUCCCGGUGUAGCGGUGAAAUGCGCAGAUAUCGGGAGGAACACCGGUGGCGAAGGCGGCGACCUGGGUAGAUACUGACGCUGAGGUGCGAAAGCGUGGGGAGCAAACAGG
rnacentral:rRNA from 1 species